GCUGACUCAAUACGCACCUCGUAGACCCCUCGAGGGUUAUCAAGUACCGGAUUAACAGUUAUUUCUUUCACUGAGGUAUCGGAAUCAGAGGUUCCUACAACUUACCCUCUCUUUUUUUUUUUAGCAGGAUCGACCUCGAUUCCUCUGAUUCGCUCACAACAAGCCUCGGUAGCUUGAUGGACAACACUCCAUAAGUGCACUGAUUCAGACUCAAAAGUAUG
rnacentral:lncRNA from 1 species